GGACUACUGGGGUAUCUAAUCCCGUUUGCUCCCCUGGCUUUCGCGCCUCAGCGUCAGAAGAGGUCCAGCAGAUCGCUUUCGCCACCGGCGUUCCUUCCGAUAUCUACGCAUUUCACCGCUCCACCGGAAGUUCCAUCUGCCCCUACCUCCCUCCAGCCCGCCAGUAUCAGCAGCCAUUUUCCGGUUGAGCCGAAAGAUUUCACCACUGACUUGGCAAGCCGCCUACGCGCCCUUUAAGCCCAGUGAAUCCGAACAACGUUUGCACGGUUCGUCUUACCGCGGCUGCUGGCAC
rnacentral:rRNA from 1 species